UACGAAGGGGCUAGCGUUGCUCGGAAUCACUGGGCGUAAAGCGCACGUAGGCGGAUUGCUAAGUCAGGGGUGAAAUCCUGGAGCUCAACUCCAGAACUGCCCUUGAUACUGGCGGUCUCGAGUCCGGGAGAGGUGAGUGGAACUGCGAGUGUAGAGGUGAAAUUCGUAGAUAUUCGCAAAGACACCAGUGGCGAAGGCGGCUCACUGGCCCGGUACUGACGCUGAGGUGCGAAAC
rnacentral:rRNA from 1 species